UGGGGAAUUUUGGACAAUGGGGGAAACCCUGAUCCAGCCAUCCCGCGUGUGCGAUGAAGGCCUUCGGGUUGUAAAGCACUUUUUGCAGGAAAGAAACGUCAUGGGUUAAUACCCCGUGAAACUGACGGUACCUGCAGAAUAAGCACCGGCUAACUACGUGCCAGCAGCCGCGGUAAUACGUAGGGUGCAAGCGUUAAUCGGAAUUACUGGGCGUAAAGCGUGCGCAGGCGGUUCGGAAAGAAAGAUGUGAAAUCCCAGAGCUCAACUUUGGAACUGAAUGUUUAACGAACGGGCAAGAGUGUGUCAGAGGGAGGGGGAAUUCCGCGUGUAGCAGUGAAAUGCGUAGAUAUGCGGAGGAAAACCGAUGGCGAAGGCAGCCGCCUGGGAUAACACUGAAGCUAAUGCACGAAAGCGUGGGGAGGAAACAGG
rnacentral:rRNA from 1 species